UAGGGAAUCUUCGGCAAUGGACGGAAGUCUGACCGAGCAACGCCGCGUGAGUGAAAAAGGUUUUCGGAUCGUAAAGCUCUGUUGUAAGAGAAGAACGAGUGUGAGAGUGGAAAGUUCACACUGUGACGGUAUCUUACCAGAAAGGGACGGCUAACUACGUGCCAGCAGCCGCGGUAAUACGUAGGUCCCGAGCGUUGUCCGGAUUUAUUGGGCGUAAAGCGAGCGCAGGCGGUUAGAUAAGUCUGAAGUUAAAGGCUGUGGCUUAACCAUAGUAGGCUUUGGAAACUGUUUAACUUGAGUGCAAGAGGGGAGAGUGGAAUUCCAUGUGUAGCGGUGAAAUGCGUAGAUAUAUGGAGGAACACCGGUGGCGAAAGCGGCUCUCUGGCUUGUAACUGACGCUGAGGCUCGAAAGCGUGGGGAGCAAACAGGAUUAGAUACCCUGGUAGUCCACGCUGUAAACGAUGAGUGCUAGGUGUUAGACCCUUUCCGGGGUUUAGUGCCGUAGCUAACGCAUUAAGCACUCCGCCUGGGGAGUACGACCGCAAGGUUG
rnacentral:rRNA from 1 species